GAUUCAUUCUCUUCUUCUUGCCUGAUCAAACCUGCCCUGGUACUAACUGCACACAGCUGGAGGUCUACUGAGUACUUUGUGCAAGAUACUGUGCUGGAAAUGCUCUCUCUUGAUUAGCACGGUGGCUCCACAGGCAAGUUGUUUAAUUCUUAAACCAGGAGGCACCUGCUGUUAUCAUCUUUAUAGAAGUAAGAUCUUCAUUUUUUCUUCCUGAAAGAAGAGAAUAUGGAAUUGUUACACUCAACAGACUGCAACAAAAAGCUGAUCCAUCUCUCUUAUCCCUCGUGGAAGGGAAAAGAGAAAACUGAAACUGGUUAUUACACAAAAUCAAGUUCACUAUUGUAAAAUAAAGAGUGUUUUCUAUCAUCUUGCUCUCUUUCCUUCAAAAGUAAUAAAUAUUAUUUUCCUUUUAUGCAACUAUA